rnacentral:lncRNA from 1 species
UACCAAAUGCUGAGGCUGAUUUCAUAGAUUGCCUUCUUUGAGCUGUCGCAAGUCAGGGCAGUUUUAUUACUGAGCCUUUAUGACUGAACCUAAAGACAUUCUAAUCUAACAAAUUAACAUAUCAGGAAGGUUAUUGUCACAUCAUGCAAGUAGCAGAACCCAGCUACAGAAAAUAGAGGAGUUAUUCCUCUUUCAUCCUUUAUUUUCUGUCCCAAUUACUGUACUUUUAGUGAAAUUCAUCCUUUUUACUUUAUUUUAAUGUUUUCUCUUACAGGCAAAAUAAACACACGUAUAUAUGAUUAGCAAGUUGAACAAAACCUGUUCUUAAUGGUGAAAAGCAUGAUGAAAAAAGUUGUUUUCUCCUUUGCUCAGAGGCCACUGUGAGGCACCAUGGCCUCCUUCCCUCUGCCAGGCAGAGGAUUUUCAUGUCAUCAACACCGCUGUUGUUAGACACUGGCACGCUGUAUCAGUAUUUAAUAGGAUUUGACUGAACAUGGCUAUCUAUUGAUUCAGCAGAUACUAAGAGUGUGCUGUUUCUCUUUAUAGCUUAUGUGAAGCAGGGAGAAAUGUCUGAAGGAGAAGGUGGAGAAGAAUGUACUGGUUUAUGUAAUCCCUCUUACUGGAGCAGCAGUUUGUGCGGUGUGUGUGAUCUAAAGGCUAUCUCAGGGUGAGAGGAGAGCUGACGCGGGGGGGAUUUUCUGCAGGGCCAGGGAAAUUGCUCUGCUGUCUUUUUCAGUACCCAUGCGGAAGACCCAGAUGCAGGGGAUGUAUCCAGCACUGUGCAGAAAUGUAUCAGCAACUGAACUGAGGCAAAUAGUUUUCAAGCCAUCUUGUUCCAGCAAGAUCUGGUGGUAAAAGUUAUCCCCAGUGAGGAAGUACCUGGCCCGGAGUGUAAAUCCUUUUCAGGGGUGCAGAGUCAGCAUCAGUAACUGACAGCAAAGUUACAGCCAACAGCCAUGCCAGGUGCUCCUU